rnacentral:rRNA from 1 species
GAUGAACGCUGGCGGCGUGCCUAAUACAUGCAAGUCGAGCGAACAGACGACUAGCUUGCUCCGCACACGUUAGCGGCGGACGGGUGAAUAACGCGUGGAUAACCUCCCUAUCAUACUGGUAUAACUUCGGGAAACCGGAGCUAAUACCGGAUAAUAUAGUUUACCGCAUGGUUCAGUAGUGAAAUACGGUUUUGCUGUCACUUCUAGAUCGAUCCGCUCCGCAUUAGCUAGUUGGUAAGGUAACGGGUUACCAGGGCAACGAUGCGUAGCCGAACUGGGAGGCGGGUCGGCGACAUGGGAAGGUGGACACGGUCCAUGCGACUAAGGGAGGCAGCAGAAGGGAACGGGACGCAGUGGGGGGAAGCAUGACGGAGCAAGGCCGAGUGAGUGACGAAGGUCUUCGGAUCGUAAAACUGUGUUAUUAGGGAAGAACAAAUGUCGAAGGAACUAUGCAGGUAUUGACGGUACCUAAUCAGAAAGCAACGGCUAACUACGUG